ACUCCCAACGGGAGGCAGCAGUGGGGAAUAUUGCACAAUGGGCGCAAGCCUGAUGCAGCCAUGCCGCGUGUAUGAAGAAGGCCUUCGGGUUGUAAAGUACUUUCAGCUGUGACGUUACCCACAGAAGAAGCACCGGCUAACUCCGUGCCAGCAGCCGCGGUAAUACGGAGGGUGCGAGCGUUAAUCGGAAUUACUGGGCGUAAAGCGCGUGUAGUGGCUUGUUAAGCCAGAUGUGAAAG
rnacentral:rRNA from 1 species